UACGUAGGGUGGCGAGCGUUGUCCGGAAUUAUUGGGCGGUAAAGAGCUCGUAGGCGGUCUGUCGCGUCGGUCGUGAAAACUUGGGGCUUAACCCUGAGCUUGCGGUCGAUACGGGCAUGACUGGAGUUCGGUAGGGGAGACUGGAAUUCCUGGUGUAGCGGUGAAAUGCGCAGAUAUCAGGAGGAACACCGGUGGCGAAGGCGGGUCUCUGGGCCGAUACUGACGCUGAGGAGCGAAAGCGUGGGGAGCGAACAGG
rnacentral:rRNA from 1 species